GAUGAACGCUGGCGGCGUGCCUAAUACAUGCCAGUCGAGCGAACGGACGAGAAGCUUGCUUCUCUGAUGUUAGCGGCGGACGGGUGAGUAACACGUGGAUAACCUACCUAUAAGACUGGGAUAACUUCGGGAAACCGUAGCUAAUACCGGAUAAUAUUUUGAACCGCAUGGUUCAAAAGUGAAAGACGGUCUUGCUGUCACUUAUAGAUGGAUCCGCGCUGCAUUAGCUAGUUGGUAAGGUAGCGGCUUACCAAGGCAACGAUGCAUAGCCGACCUGAGAGGGUGAUCGGCCACACUGGAACUGAGACACGGUCCAGACUCCUACGGGAGGCAGCAGUAGGGAAUCUUCCGCAAUGGGCGAAAGCCUGACGGAGCAACGCCGCGUGAGUGAUGAAGGUCUUCGGAUCGUAAAACUCUGUUAUUAGGGAAGAACAUAUGUGUAAGUAACUGUGCACAUCUUGACGGUACCUAAUCAGAAAGCCACGGCUAACUACGUG
rnacentral:rRNA from 1 species